rnacentral:tRNA from 1 species
UGUGGCUCAGUUGGUAGAGUGCUUGCCUAGCAUGCAUUGAAGCCCUGGGUUCAAGCCCCAGCA